CACUUAGUUUUAUUUUUGUGGGGAUUAUUUUGUGCAUUAGUAUUUCCUUUCCUGAGAGUUUUUGCGUUUUGCAAUAUUACAGGAAGACUGUCUAAUGGAAUGUCAGAUAAAAUUGUCUUUUUAUGUUUUAUUACAUUCAGCACUGCUAUCUAAAACAAGUCAACAAAUUGAAGUCAUAAAUAUAACAGCUGGCGUCGGUUUCGGCCAUAAUUUAACUUUCCACAUUGUUGAUGACAGUGUCACGUGGUACACAGCGAAGGAGGCAUGUCAGAACGAGAUACCCGGGAGUGAUUUUUCUAUGUGUGGAUACGAUUGUUCUGUAUACACAGCCAUAAAACUUGGUAGUAU